UACGUAGGGUGCGAGCGUUAAUCGGAAUUACUGGGCGUAAAGCGUGCGCAGGCGGUUUUGUAAGUCUGUCGUGAAAUCCCCGGGCUCAACCUGGGAACUGCAUUUGUGACUGCAAGGCUAGAGUACGGCAGAGGGGGAUGGAAUUCCGCGUGUAGCAGUGAAAUGCGUAGAUAUGCGGAGGAACACCGAUGGCGAAGGCAAUCCCCUGGACCUGUACUGACGCUCAUGCACGAAAGCGUGGGGAGCAAACAGG
rnacentral:rRNA from 1 species